rnacentral:rRNA from 1 species
GGAAUAAGCAUCGGCUAACUCCGUGCCAGCAGCCGCGGUAAUACGGAGGAUGCAAGCGUUAUCCGGAAUGAUUGGGCGUAAAGGGUCCGUAGGUGGAGUUGAAAGUCUGCUGUUAAAGAGUCUGGCUUAACCAGAUAAAAGCAGUGGAAACUACAAAACUAGAGUAUGGUAGGGGUAGAAGGAAUUCCUGGUGUAGCGGUGAAAUGCGUAGAUAUCAGGAAGAACACCGGUGGCGAAAGCGUUCUACUAGACCAAAACUGACACUGAGGGACGAAAGCUAGGGGAGCGAAUGGGAUUAGAUACCCCAGUAGUCCUAGCCGUAAACGAUGGAUACUAGGCGUGGCUUGUAUCGACCCGAGCCGUGCCGGAGCUAACGCGUUAAGUAUCCCGCCUGGGGAGUACGCACGCAAGUGUGAAACUCAAAGGAAUUGACGGGGGCCCGCACAAGCGGUGGAGUAUGUGGUUUAAUUCGAUGCAACGCGAAGAACCUUACCAAGGCUUGACAUCCUGCGAAUCCUGGUGAAAGCUAGGAGUGCCUUAGGGAGCGCAGAGACAGGUGGUGCAUGGCUGUCGUCAGCUCGUGUCGUGAGAUGUUGGGUUAAGUCCCGCAACGAGCGCAACCCUCGUUUUUAGUUGCCAGCAUUAAGUUGGGCACUCUAGAGAGACUGCCGGUGACAAACCGGAGGAAGGUGAGGAUGACGUCAAGUCAGCAUGCCCCUUACGCCUUGGGCUACACACGUACUACAAUGCUACGGACAAAGGGCAGCAAGUCGGCGACGACAAGCAAAUCUCAGAAACCGUAGCUCAGUUCAGAUCGAAGGCUGCAACUC